ACGGUUAAAUCACGCUGAAACACCGGUUCUCCUUCGAUCACCGAAGUUAAGCAUCGUAGAGCCAGGUUAGUACUUAGAUGGGGACCGCUUGGGAACACCUGGUACUGUAAGC
rnacentral:rRNA from 1 species